rnacentral:lncRNA from 1 species
UUGAAUGACAGGCCCGGCCGGAACCUGAUUUAAUCUUGAUUCGUACUUGUUUUAUUUUCCACCCUCCUAAGAAACGCCGACGUGUCCCGGCAACCCGCCCACCUGCAGAAGCCUUCGUCCAUCCAUUGACUGGUUGCAAGGCUCCACGGAGCACCAGAGGGGAGAAGGAGGGCGUAGCUGCAGACUGGUCGUCCCAUCUGGUCCACCCGGGCUGCGUCUCCACCAGAUUGGACGCAGCAGCUGAGAAGCGUCCGUCUCACAGCUCAGCCCCGGCGAGCAGGCGAGAGAGCAGCGCAUCUCGCUGCCAGGCUGCCGGAGGAGUCGCCUGUUGCCAGCAUGGUGGGGGGACCCCCAGCCGGCUUCGUCUCAGCCUGCUGCCCGCAGCGGCGCCAUGCCGGUCAGCUGCUGGCGGCCCCCGGGGUUCGUCCUGCUGGUGCUGGGGGUCAGAGCUGGUCUCAGGUCUCUCUGGCCUCUGACAACGGGUUUAAAACAGCGAACAACAGGACCAACGUGCUCUGGCACGUCUAUCGCUGUCACCGCGGUGUCCGGCCGCUGGAAAUCCGGGCGGAAUGCAAGCCGAAUCCUUAUCCUGCCGCGCGAGAGGCCGGGAAGCCCAGCAGCCAAGCAUUAGGAAGAGGAGGACAGCACAUGAGGCGACCAUGUGUGUUGACACGUAUGCUUCCUCUGAGGAAUCUCCUGUAA